rnacentral:lncRNA from 1 species
CCAGUUUAACCAAACUUGGAGUCACCCUUUUACAUAUUGAUCAAUUGAAUCAAGGUAAGCUCUGACCUCCAGGGAUAGAAAUUCAGCUCUUGCCGGUCGCCUGCCUUGCAGGUUCCUUGUCCGAGUUGAUUAAAAACUGCUGCUGCACGCAGCACCAGCACCAGCCCUGCUUACACUGCCCUACCGCGAGGUUACCAUACCCCGGUUAGCCAGCCAGUAACAGUGGGCUCUCCAAGCCGCGAUUUGAGACGAUGGAGUGGCAAAGACGUACAUCCGCCCCGUAAGUUAUGGGGAACCUUGGCUGACGUCAAGUUUAACAAUCUAUUCUUGUCCAUGCAUGACGGAGGAGCGGACCCAGAGAAAAGAAAACCGAGCAAGGGUAGCAAGGGCGAGUUGGGUAAAGGAUUUUUGGGCUAUUUGGAUUGUUACAGAAAUCCCGACUCGACUUGUUGCGGCAUGCUUGUGAUGAGCUGCUGUGCGUAGAGUCUAUCGAGACUAUUGCGUAUAAAGGGAAAUAAAUGCAGGAGCUGUGUGCAUCGGGAUGUAGGUGAAUCCCUUGAAUUGUUUGGAACCUUUUUGCAG